rnacentral:lncRNA from 1 species
CUAAUCACACUCACAAAAACAUAAUUGCUACCUUUCUCUUUCUCACAGUUGCAUAAACAAUCAUAAAAAAACAACUGCUUCCAUUCUAUUUCUCACAAUUGAAUGGUUUAGUUCUACACAAUUUAUUAAACAAUUAUUCAGAGAAAGGCCCCUCAAUGACACCGUUUGCUUCUAACUUCUCCAUCACUUUUUGGUACGUCAUGUUUAAAUUUUGCAAUGGAAUACUUGAUCCUUUCUUAUGAUCUUGUUGCUAACUCAAAUGGACAUCUCUUAUAUUGCUAAUUACAGAAAUUUAUAAGCACAUACUUAAUAUUGCUCUCCUGUCAUGAAGAAACAACCCACCAAUAGCGGUUUCCUGAGUGUUCCAUGGUGCAUGCAUUUUUCUUUUGAUUUUUGUUUCAGUGCAAUAAACAAUUCUUUAGUGAUUUUAUAUUUAUCCAUUGUUUCUAUUAUAUCCUUCAUUUCUUUCCUAUUAUGUUCUCAACAAAAAUUUGUUCUUCAAUUUUGCCUUCAUUAUUGUAGGGGAGGCGUGGCCUAGAUAGUGAGAUAGGGAACCAGGGACAUCGUGUCACAUUCUUUUUCUAGGGUAAUGUGCAACAGGUAAAAUACAAACACCAACUUCAGUGCUUGCAGGUCGGGUUUUUAUGUACGACACACUUCAGAAAGGAUUUGGUGACCGAUGAUUGGAAUCCCUAGAGAAAUGUUGUUUCUUUUGAGCAAUUAAAUGUUGUUGUUGACUUUUGUCUUCCACAAUGAAUGGUUCCUUAAACAAUUAGUGCUCAUAACAGGUUUCUUAAUUAGCUUUUCACUCAAUUUUCUUUCCUUAAUAUUCUUAAGAUGCAUGGCUACGAAAUUGGGGUUUCAAAAAUGUGGCCAUGAAAAGUAUUUCACAUAAACCAUGGAGUGGCCAAACUGACCAAGGGGUCCAUGUCGUCAUUGCCCGUCUAUUCUCAUACUGGAUUUUGCAGCUAUUCAUUAUGGAGAGUAAAAUUGGUAAUGUUUUUCUGUUUUUUCUUCUGGCAGGAUUAAUGAAAUAAAAAUUGUCCCUUAUAGUUAUGUGGUCCUAU